UCUGAUCCAUGAUGACAACCAAUUGCAUUGAGGACUGUUGGAUGAAGUUUGCGGAUAUGGGACUGAGAUCAAGC